CAACUUAUAUAGUAUAAUAAGUAUACAUGACUUCCAAUUAUGUGGUCUAAAAAUUUUAGUAUAAGUA
rnacentral:tRNA from 1 species